GCCCCAAACCCACUGCGGGGGGCUGGCGAACGGAGGGGUGGACGGUGCUCUGUGAGAAGGGGCUAAGGGAACUAAACCCGUGGCCAGAAGUCUCCCACAAAGAGCAUUUCGGGCCCGACUGGCUUCCUCAGCAAGUUCCAUCACACACUCAGGGAAGAGAGAGUUACAACCUGUCCUGAAUUCUCCUAGAAAGCAGAGAAGGGUGCACAGCCGAACUUCUGUCACGGGCAUGGCGUGGCGGUGCGAACGCGGAGGAGAGCGGUACUGUAAGGGAGGACCGUAGGUGGCGUCACCGCGGGGACAGGACGGGUUCCUGUCGCCGUCCCAGCCGACAACCACACCAUGCGGUGCCGCGUCAGCGGGGUCCUGGGACCAGACUCUAGCUACCAUUUCCUCUUCACGACAGCGGGGGCAGGCACUUAAUCACCCCUUUCUACAGAUGAGGAAAUGGAGACCCAGAGAAUUCCGAUAAUUAAAUGUCAGAUAUUAAGUGGGGUACCCGGAACACAAAAUCCUAAACAAAAUAGUAACCAAAUCCAACAGUAUGUUUGCAAAGGAAAACCCACCAUUACUAGGCUGUGCUUAACCCAGAAAAUUUCGGUUGUUUUUACAUUAGCAAAUUACUAUACUUAACCACAUGAACAGAAUAAAGGAGAAAAAACCACAUGGUCAUCUUCAAUGGCUGCAGAAGAAGUGAUAAAAUUCAUCCAUUCACGAUAAAAAAUGUCUUGGCAAAUUAACACUACAAGGAGUUUCUUUAACCUGAUAGAGUCUAUCUAUAAGAACACUGCCUCACACACCCUCUAGAAUGAAAACAUUAAAUCUUUGACAGUAAGUGCUGGACACAUGGACCGACAGAAACUAACACGCUUCUAACGGAGCAUCAGUGUAACCAUUCUAGAAAUCAUCUGAAAUUAUCUGCAGCAAAGGCGUUAAGAACAUGGUUCAGGAGUUAAGUGAAACAUGAACAUAAUGGGACACAAAGUUAAUAAGAACCAAAUGGGAUUUUAGAACUAAAAACAUGUAAUUUCUGAAAUUAAAAAUCCAUUAUCUACACAGGCCCAACUGCAGAAUGGACGAGGCCUGUGACAAGGCAGCAGAAAUGACCUCAACAGAGGGCGAGAACAAAAGAUGGGGAAAAAGACCCGAAGUCUGGGGACCCGUGGGGAUGCUACCAAGUGGUCUGGGUGUAACUGGGGUCCGGGAGGGAGGGUGGGAAAGAAGCUGGAUCGAAUAACCACGUUGAAGAAAUGGUGGCCAAAACUUUCCCAGAUUUGAUGAAAAUUAUAAACUCACAGGUCUAAGAAGCUCAACGAAACCCAAACAAGAGGAACAUAAAAAGUAAUAGCAUGGGGAGCGUUUCCAACAAGCCUAAAAUGGUUGAAUGCUAAAAUCUUUUCAAAAAAUUAAAAAAAACGGUAUGAUGAAAGAAAUUGCACUCCCCCACAAAAACCGUAUUUGCUGUGACAUGCUUUCCUGCUAAGUUGCAGAGAAACUGAUGCCAAAGGACACAGCCACAACCAGACAGGAGGGAACCGGGGAGGCCACCCCGGUUCCUGAGGGAAAUGCCCGACCCCCGACCGCCAGUGGCAGAGCCCGACGACACACGCAGGCACCUGUAGGCCUGCCUGCUCUUCUCCAUAAAUUAAGAGCAGGAGCAGCGUGGAGUCAGAGGGAGCCACCCUGGUUAGCACCUCCCUGCAAA